AGACGUUAUUGAACUAUAGAAGAGAUGAACUUCUACAUUCAACAGAGUUCAAUAUACGAAGCAUCAACAUCACCUUCAUUCAACAUGCUGUCACCACUGAUGUUUCUAGUUAUUCUAAACGGAUUCAGCUGUGAAGAACUCACACCAGUGGAGACAGAAGAAAACAGUGUAGAAGACACAACUGUUACUAUGUCCUACAAUUACUAUCAAGCUGCUACUUAUUCCGACUACUUCUUCUGGUAUCGACAACAUCCAGGAAAACCACCUGAGUUUCUCAUCGUUCACUCUGGAACACAACAUGAAACCAGUUCUAGACUGUCUGCUAAAGUGAGUGAUGAUAAAACCAGAAUGGAUCUGAAGAUCUCGUCUGCUACAGUGUCAGACUCUGCUGUGUACUACUGUGCUGUGAAGCCCACAGUGACAGGAAACACCAAGACUCUGUACAAGAACCUCUGGAGCAAAGAUAACUCUGUACACCAUCCACCAGAGGGAGUCUCCAUCUGAAUAACUUGAGCAGGAUGUGACGAUACCGUGUGGAUUAUUCAUAGUGGUGA